AUGAAUGCUGGCGGCGUGUCUAAGGCAUGCAAGUCGCGCGGACAUAAUGCGAUUACAUCAAGCUAUGUUAGCGGCAGACGGGAGCGGAACACAUUGGUAACAUUCCUCGAAGUCGUGAACAACCCCGGGAAACUGGGGCUAAUACACGAUGGCCAAGGGAGGUCGUAAGGCCCUUCCUUGUAAAGCUUCGGCGCUUCGAGAUUGGCCUAUAUCCUAUCAGUUAGUUGGUGAGGUAAUGGCUCACCAAGGCAAUGACGGGUAGCGGUUCUGAGAGGAUGAUCCGCCACACUGGUACUGAGACACGGACCAGACUCCUACGGGAGGCAGCAGUGAGGAAUAUUGCACAAUGGGGGAAACCCUGAUGCAGCAACGCCGCGUGGAGGAUGACGCAUUUCGGUGUGUAAACUCCUUUUAUAUGUCAAGAAAAUGACGGUAGCAUAUGAAUAAGCACCGGCUAACUCCGU
rnacentral:rRNA from 1 species